rnacentral:lncRNA from 1 species
AAGUCUAUAAAUAGCCAUCAGAUGCACAAAUUUAGAUAUCAAUCACUUUUUAAUAGAUCUCACACGAGAGAAAUCAUAGAUUUAGGGUUCCAAAGAGGUUUUGAAGGUGGAUUCAUCACAACUUGAGAAAUCAAGUGCUAUGUUCCUCAUUUCUUCACUUCUUUACUUUUGUAAGUUGAUCAUGGCUAUGUGUAGCUAAUUUCUUCUUUGUUGGGAUUAGAUGUAGUUAUUUUAUGAUCAUGUACUCAUUUUAACUAUGGUAUAUAUGUUUUAUUCAUCAAUCAAUAUGAGUGAUGUCUUGUUUUACUUGUUUAUUUCAAAGAUUUGNN